CAAUAGCGUAUAUUUAAGUUGUUGCAGUUAAAAAGCUCGUAGUCGGAUUUUGGCUGAGAACGAUCGGUCCGCCGUUAGGUGUGCACUGAUUGGUCUCAGCUUCCUGGUGAGGAGGUGUGCUUCACGGCCACUUAGUCACCGUGGUUACUUUGAAAAAAUUAGAGUGUUCAAAGCGGGCUUACGCUUGAAUAUAUUAGCAUGGAAUAACACCAUAGGACUCCUGUCCUAUUUCGUUGGUCACGGGACGGGAGUAAUGACUAAGAGGAACAGUUGGGGGCAUUCGUAUUUCAUUGUCAGAGGUGAAAUUCUUGGAUUUAUGAAAGACGAACUUCUGCGAAAGCAUUUGCCAAGGAUGUUUUCAUUGA
rnacentral:rRNA from 1 species